rnacentral:rRNA from 1 species
AAUGAACGCUGGCGGCGUGGUUAAGACAUGCAAGUCGAACGGGAUAAGUUAUGUAGCAAUACAUGAUUUGUUCAGUGGCGAACGGGUGCGUAACACGUGAACAAUCUACCAUUAAGUGUGGAAUAGCUCGCCGAAAGGCGAAUUAAUACCGCAUGUGGUUGGCUCUCGCAUGAGAGACAUACUAAAGUCAGGGACCGCAAGGCCUGACGCUAAAUGAGGAGUUCGCGGCCUAUCAGCUAGUUGGCGAGGUAACGGCUCACCAAGGCUAAGACGGGUAGCUGAUCUGAGAGGAUGAUCAGCCACACUGGAACUGGGAAACGGUCCAGAACCCUACGGGUGGCAGCAGUUUCGAAUCAUUCACAAUGGGCGAAAGCCUGAUGGUGCGACGCCGCGUGAGGGAUGAAGGUCUUCGGGUUGUAAACCUCUUUUGUCAGGGAAGAAACGCGCUGGGUUAAUACCUCGGCGUAAUGACGGUACCUGAAGAAUAAGCACCGGCUAACUACGUGCCAGCAGCCGCCGUAAUAC